GCACCUGCAAAAUCAGGUGUCAGGAUUGGCGUCCUGAAAGUGUGU
rnacentral:sRNA from 1 species